rnacentral:rRNA from 1 species
GACGAACGCUGGCGGCGUGCUUAACACAUGCAAGUCGAACGGAAAGGCCCUGCUUUUGUGGGGUUCUCGAGUGGCGAACGGGUGAGUAACACGUGAGUAACCUGCCCUUGACUUUGGGAUAACUUCAGGAAACUGGGGCUAAUACCGGAUAGGAGCUCCUGCUGCAUGGUGGGGGUUGGAAAGUUUCGGCGGUUGUGGAUGGACUCGCGGCUUAUCAGCUUGCUGGUGGGGUAGUGGCUUACCAAGGCUUUGACGGGUAGCCGGCCUGAGAGGGUGACCGGCCACAUUGGGACUGCGAUACGGCCCAGACUCCUACGGGAGGCAGCAGGGGGGAAUAUUGCACAAUGGGCGGAAGCCUGAUGCAGCAACGCCGCGUGCGGGAUGACGGCCUUCGGGUUGUAAACCGCUUUCGCCUGUGACGAAGCGUGAGUGACGGUAAUGGGUAAAGAAGCACCGGCUAACUACGUG